rnacentral:rRNA from 1 species
CCUACGGGUGGCAGCAGUCGAGAAUCAUUCACAAUGGGGGAAACCCUGAUGGUGCGACGCCGCGUGGGGGAAUGAAGGUCUUCGGAUUGUAAACCCCUGUCAUGUGGGAGCAAAUUAAAAAGAUAGUACCACAAGAGGAAGAGACGGCUAACUCUGUGCCAGCAGCCGCGGUAAUACAGAGGUCUCAAGCGUUGUUCGGAAUCACUUGGCGUAAAGCGUGCGUAGGCGGUUUCGUAAGUCGUGUGUGAAAGGCGCGGGCUCAACCCGCGGACGGCACAUGAUACUGCGAGACUAGAGUGAUGGAGGGGGAAGCGGAAUUCUCGGUGUAGCAGUGAAAUGCGUAGAUAGCGAGAGGAACACUCGUGGCGAAGGCGGGUUCCUGGACAUUAACUGACGCUGAGGCACGAAGGCCAGGGGAGCGAAAGGGAUUAGAUACCCUAGUAGUC